CGGCUGCGACGGCGCACAAGCGCGGGCGAGAGGAGCUACCCCACGUCCGAGGUCAGGGGCAGAAGCCAGGAGGACCCCGUGCCCGAGGGGCAGCGGCCAAGAGGAGCUACCCCGCGUCCGAGGUCAGGGGCUGCGGCCAAAAGUGCCAGGCUGCAACGGCUCAUGAGCGGCCGUGAGGAGCUACUCCCCGCCGGAGGCCAAGGGCGGCAGCCGGGAGGAGUUACCCCACACCCGAGGCCAGGGAUGGCGGCUGGGAGGAGCUACCCCAGGGCCAAGGAGCAGUGGCUGCCCGGGCGCAGGAGGGCCAAGAGGAGCUACUCCACGUUCAAGGUCAGGAGGGGCGGCGGUGAGGAGAUACCCCACGACCAAGAUGCUGUGGAAAGAUGCUGGAUCAGUCAGAUGCUGGAGACAGGAUGGACAUGAUUUCCAGUCCUCGCAUCCAAAGAAUGUAGGUGGGAUCUUCAGGAAGACCUUAGUUAAGUUGUCACAUGUAUAAACUGUGACCCAUUAACUCUUUAACAUGGAUCUGAUUAUCAAAACAGUUAGGUGUAGUGAGUCAGACUUGGUAUGGAUAAGUUGUAAUGGGAAGAGAAGCCACAGUGAGGAGCAUGAAGCUCCCAGAGGCCCUUCAACAGGAAAGAUGCUCAAAGAGAGGGAAGGAGUCCAGAGGCAGGGGAGCCACAG
ensembl:lncRNA